rnacentral:piRNA from 1 species
AUUGUCCGGUUUGGGGUAGCCUG